AGGGGAGUGGUGGAGCCGUCGGACCAGAUCUGUAGUAGGUAAGUGAUGGGGUGACGCAGGAAGGUAGUCCAUCCCGGGCGGUGGUUGUCCCGGGGUAAGGGUGUAGGGCGUUGUGCAGGUAAAUCCGUGCAACUUGUGUCUGAGACCUGAUGCCGAGCCGAUUGUGGUGAAGUGGAUGAUCCUAUGCUGUCGAGAAAAGCCUCUAGCGAGUUUCAUGGCGGCCCGUACCCUAAACCGACUCAGGUGGUCUGGUAGAGAAUACCGAGGCGUUCGGGUGAACUAUGGUUAAGGAACUCGGCAAAAUGCCCCCGUAACUUCGGGAGAAGGGGGGCCACUCCAGGUGACGGGAUUUACUUUUUGAGCUUGGGGUGGCCGCAGAGACCAGCGAGAAGCGACUGUUUACUAAAAACACAGGUCCGUGCGAAGCCGUAAGGCGAUGUAUACGGACUGACGCCUGCCCGGUGCUGGAACGUUAAGGGGACCGGUUAGUCGAUCUUCGGGUCGGCGAGGCUGAGAACUUAAGCGCCAGUAAACGGCGGUGGUAACUAUAACCAUCCUAAGGUAGCGAAAUUCCUUGUCGGGUAAGUUCCGACCUGCACGAAUGGCGUAACGACUUCUCGACUGUCUCAACCAUAGGCCCGGUGAAAUUGCAUUACGAGUAAAGAUGCUCGUUUCGCGCAGCAGGACGGAAAGACCCCGGGACCUUUACUACAGUUUGAUAUUGGUGUUCGGUUCGGCUUGUGUAGGAUAGGUGGGAGACUGUGAAGCGGCCACGCCAGUGGUUGUGGAGUCGUCGUUGAAAUACCACUCUGGUCGUGCUGGAUGUCUAACCUGGGUCCGUGAUCCGGAUCAGGGACAGUGUCUGAUGGGUAGUUUAACUGGGGCGGUUGCCUCCUAAAGGGUAACGGAGGCGCCCAAAGGUUCCCUCAGCCUGGUUGGUAAUCAGGUGUUGAGUGUAAGUGCACAAGGGAGCUUGACUGUGAGACCGACGGGUCGAGCAGGGACGAAAGUCGGGACUAGUGAUCCGGCGGUGGCUUGUGGAAGCGCCGUCGCUCAACGGAUAAAAGGUACCCCGGGGAUAACAGGCUGAUCUUCCCCAAGAGUCCAUAUCGACGGGAUGGUUUGGCACCUCGAUGUCGGCUCGUCGCAUCCUGGGGCUGGAGUCGGUCCCAAGGGUUGGGCUGUUCGCCCAUUAAAGCGGUACGCGAGCUGGGUUUAGAACGUCGUGAGACAGUUCGGUCCCUAUCCGCUGUGCGCGUAGGAGUCUUGAGAAGGGCUGUCCCUAGUACGAGAGGACCGGGACGGACGAACCUCUGGUGUGCCAGUUGUUCUGCCAAGGGCAUGGCUGGUUGGCUACGUUCGGGAGGGAUAACCGCUGAAAGCAUCUAAGCGGGAAGCCUGCUUCGAGAUGAGGGCUCCCACCCCCUUUGAGGGGUUAAGGCUCCCAGUAGACGACUGGGUUGAUAGGCCGGAUAUGGAAGCCAGGUGACUGGUGGAGUUGACCGGUACUAAUAGGCCGAGGGCUUGUCCUC
rfam:Streptomyces sp. MnatMP-M17 genome assembly, contig: Ga0115259_10275